GCUGGAUGCUGCUGCUGUUCCAGCUUCCUAGGUGUGGAAACUGAAGGACCAAGAGAUUAAACAGUGGUGCAAAAGUGGUAAGAAUUCAGCAUUCUCCUCGACAAGUGGACGAGCAUCUACUGUGCUUUCACAGCGGCUAUCACUAUUGCCAGCAGCAAGACUGUCAGCUCGGCGCCCUCGUCUGGUUGGAUGGGAAACUGCAGUUGCUAAGGGAGCUGGGUUUGAAUCUCUGAGGACAAAUGGGAAUUCUCACUGAUUUCUAGGACUACCCUGGGGCAGAGAUGGAGUUUCAUCACAUUGCCUAGGCUGGUCUCGAAAUCCUGGACUCAAGUGAUCUGCUGGCCUCAGCCUCCCUAACUGCUGGGACUAGAGGCCUGAGCGACCACCCCUGGCUGUAAACAUUUUCUUAGCUCAAGGAUUGCUGAAUUUGUAUCCAUUUUCUUCUCUCCUAUCUCAAUUGGGUGGGUGAAAUGAUACUGUUAAUU
rnacentral:lncRNA from 1 species